GUAGGGUGCGAGCGUUAAUCGGAAUUACUGGGCGUAAAGCGUGCGCAGGCGGUUCGCUAAGACCGAUGUGAAAUCCCCGGGCUUAACCUGGGAACUGCAUUGGUGACUGGCGGGCUAGAGUAAGGCAGAGGGGGUAGGAAUUCCACGUGUAGCAGUGAAAUAGCGUAGAGAUGUGGAGGAAUACCGAUGGCGAAGGCAGCCCCUCGGGCCGAAUAACUGACGCUCAUGCACGAAAGACGUGGGGAGCAAACAGGAUUAGAUACCCUGGUAGUCCACGCCCUAAACGAUGUCAACUAGUUGUCGGGUCUUCAUUGACUUGGUAACGUAGCUAACGCGUGAAGUUGACCGCCUGGGGAGUACGGUCGCAAGAUUA
rnacentral:rRNA from 1 species